GACAAAAUUUAAAUAACUAUAUAAAUACAAUAUAUUUCAAGUAUUAAUUUUCUUAAAACCAACUGCCAAAAUUUUUGUACCAUUUCUAGAAGUUUGUUUUAUUUAUUUUUUUCCAGAAUUUUUUAAAAUAUUUUCCUAAGUUGUGAUCAACUUUCAAGAUUGGAAAUUUUUCUUCAAAGUAUGUCUGAUAUUUCAUAAAAUGGAACUAGCAUAGUGAGGUUUGGGUUUUGAAUUCAUGUUUGCUCUCCUAAGCUGAGACAAUGCUAGGGAAGAGCUCAUGGAGCCCUCAUAUCCUAUGUAUGACAUAACCUGAUCAAGCUUUUAUUUUCUGAAAGAUAUCCUAAACCAAUCAAUACAAGCAAGAUGAAGUUUACAUCAAUAUUCCAAUAUAGCAACAGCCUGAAAUGAAAAAGACAUACAUGAAGACAUAUCAACCAACUCUAGAGGUAAAUGGUAAUACCCAAAAGUCUCAUCACCACCAUAGCCUAGAAGAGCAAGACUUGUGGGAAAAGAAAAAAGAGGAAAAACCCAUGUGGGAUUUUCACAUUAGACCUACCAUCCUGGUCAACCCUAUUGAAAACGUCGGAUAAAAAUAACUUGCCUAAUAUCAUAAAUGAUCGGAGCAUUUUCAAAGAGAGGACUCAAAUCUAUACUGAGGUUGAAGCUUCAGCCUCCAACACCCAUUUUCCAGUAAUUUUUUUUCAAAGACAAACAAACUAAAACCAAUCCGCAUGCAUGAAUAAAAUGAAUAUCUCAAAUGAAAUCAGAACCAGCCCUCCUUACAAGUUUUACAAGCUCCAUCAAGAUAUAGCCUGCCCAUAUUAGUGGUCUAUGUAAACAUGGGUGUCAUUUGAAAGACUUUGAAAUGCAGACCUAUGCUUGAUUCAAGAACUUGCACACUAUUAAACCAGAUAACCAGGUGAAAAGUCCUCAAUUUGCUAGCUCAAAACAUGUCCGAAAAUAUAUCUAAUAAUAUGUCAGUUUGGAAAUGUUGAAAUUCCAUUUGUAAGAAAAAGCAAACAAUAAAUAACUCUAUGCAACAGCAAUAUUCAUUCCAUCAAUUUUUAUAAUAACAAUAUUACUGCACCAUAAGCAAUGUAUGAAAUUUGCUCAAAAUUCACUUGCAAAAUUAGAGUAAAGCAAAAUAUAUAUUAUCCCAAAAGUCAGGACAAAUAAAGCCAACGAGUAGAAAACCUAUCAAGGAAGGGGAACAUAAUGUAAUAUACAUAUGAUGCUCAUAACCUUCAUGAUAAGGGAUGGAAGAUAUCUAUACGAAUCAUCAUGAUUCCUAAGUUUCAGGACUCGUAGAGUCAUCCACUUAGGCUUGGUUUAAAUGUUAGUAAGUUUGAGGGAAGUACUAAGAACAGAAACUAGAGAGAAAAAUAGAAAGAAAAAGUGAAAGGAAACUAAAAUUUGGUUUAAACCCAGAAGAUUUUCUCAAAGAUUUAUUUACUUUCUUUCCUCUUCUAUAAAGAACGAAGAUUUUAAAAAGGUAUAAAAUUUUGAAUAGUUGUCACUAUAUUUGAUUUUCUUUAUAUUUCCCACAGGAAACUGUUAAGGAGCUAGAUUAGCUAAUUUAGGGUGGCAAUUUUCUUUCAAACAUUAUUGGAUACACUUUAUGUAUUUCCUGAGAUUUUCAUUUGCCUUUGAAAACUUGAGUCAUUUAUUGGACCAGCCCAAAGCAACAAAAAUAAGCUCUUUUGAAGGGAGCUCUAGUGGACUGGAUAAGAAGGGACACCGUCCUUUGAGGACAAGUUCAAAGGCUUUAUUUUUCAAACCCAUUAAAGGGACUUGGGGCAAGACUGCCAAAGUGGGCCACCAGAGCUCUCCUUUAAGAGGAGUGUGUCAAUUGUGUGGAGAUCUUUGCUGACCCCCUUUUGAAGGAGAUGUCUCAAGGUCCAGUGGGGUGGGUUUUGGCAAUUAAUGAUGCUCUUUUGGCAGAAGCAGCAGGCUUUGAAGGUAGGCCAUCAUCUUCCCUUUCUUUCCCUUUUGAUUCUCCAGUUGGGAUGCCCGUCAAUAGCAGUGGGCCAGUGAAUCACAUUAGGGACACAAUCAUGGCUAGGAGAUCGAGUCUUCAUUGAUGGUGGGACUUUCAUUUUGGUCUUUUGGAUCUGGAAAUGGACCACUUAGGAUGAUGCUUCAAGAUGGCAGGUUGUGGGAAUUUCCAAGGAAUGCUGUGAAAGAUCCUAUAUUUAAGGAGAUUGGGGUCAGGUAUGAGGAAAUGGAGUCCUCUAAGUCAGUAAUUCUAGUUGCAGUUUGAUGGGGUAGGAGCAUUGUUCAGAUGGCCUCUUCAGUUUGCUGGCCAACUUCAAUAGCUUUGUGGGGAUGCUAGUUAUGGAUGGGGUUUUGAAAAGGAGAUUAUCUCCCUUUUGAGGAAAAUAGAGGCAAGAAAAGAGCGUGGUGUUAAGGCCUCAGUGGUGGGGGGGUGGCGGCGGGAGGAAGAGGAAACCAAACUUGUCAUCUCGUUUUGAGAGGGAGACUUAGGUGGUGUUUGUUUUUUUGGCUUUUUGCUGAAAGCAAUUUGUUUUCAGAAUUUAGGUUGUUUGUUUUUCUACUUUUUCAUAACUUAUUAUAAAUUUUUUACUAAAUAGAAAAAGCCAAAAUAUGUAGUUUUUUCUAAAUAGAAAAAAAUAACAUAUUGGUUUUUCUUUACUUUUUAAUAUUUAAUAGAAAUAAAAUACUACAAAAACAAACAACCUAAUAUUUAACACUAUUAAGCAUUAUGGUUCUAUUUAGAAUUAAGUAAAAAACAAACAUCACCUUAAAGACUGGAAUAGUCAGUUAAGUAACAAUAACUCUCCUCUGACAGUUAGGGCCUCACAGAAAGGGGUAGGAGUAUUGGGGAUCUUUAACUCUGCUCUUAGAUUGGUUGAGGGACUUUUGUCACAAAAUUGCUCAGGGGGCAGAACAAGUUCACUUCCAAGAUUUAAAGGUGCUUCAUGCCAGUCUUGAUGGUGAGAAGUCUAGGUUUGGGAUGUUUAUUGGUUUUGGGAAUUGUGGGUGUCAAGAGGGCCAGCUGGGGGCAGUCUAGUAUUCUGUGAGUUUAGGAUGUUGCUUUUGGAGCUAUUUGUAUUUUGAUGCACCUUUUCCAAGUGCUUUUAACAUCUUCUCUUAAUUUACCUAUGAAAAAAAAGUCAAUCCACUCCUAGCCAAAAUCCAUUUUUCCAUGACUACAAGUAAGAACCCCCAAAUGUCAUCGUCCUUUGCCUUCUCAAUGUCAAAGCUUACAAAGAACACUGCUAGUAAAGCUCUUCAGCCUUGCAUCUAUGGCUCAUUUACAAAAAGAAGUGUCCCCAAAAUUUGUUGUCUACCCCGUACAAAGCAUGUUGAUAGUUGUAUGCUACUCCUCCACAACUUUUCCAAGUCUAUUGACUAACAGCUUUUGCUAUGAGCAUAUUCAAUCCACCCAUCAAGCUAAUGGCAUUUAGAAUUCUUUCAAAUGAGCUUGCCGAUUAAACUUACCAAAGAAGCGUAUCAGUUCAUUCUUCACAAAGUCCAAGCAAUGUUGCUAAAAAGCCACACUGAGCCCCUUCGAUUCGGGAGCUUUGCCCCCACACAAACUGGAAAUAGUGGAGAAAACUGCAUCCUCUAGAAAAGGAACCUCCAAUCCCCCUUAAUCUUCACUCUCCAAUGGAAUGAAGGACAUCCCACUGAUACCAGGUCUUUGAUCCCCUGACCUAGAAAGAAGAAUACGAAAAUGCAUUUAAACCCCCCCCCCCCCCCUCUCUCUCUCUCUCUUAAUUUCUACAUCAUGUAAGAGCUAUUCACUCUAAUUUUAGCCAUGUCAUUCUUCUACAUGCAUAAGCCAUUUUGCAGUUUUUAAUUAUUCAAAUGGUUUUAGGCUAAACAUGUUUUAUGUUUAAUGCUAGUGAAGAUAGUUUUCAACUCAAAAGCUUACUCAUUACCAACUCAAAGCCUAAUGAACAAGUACAUUAUAUAGAAUGUGUGUAUAUGCUUUCCAUGAAAAUAAACCAAAACUAAUCUAAUUCCGAGCCAAAUUUGAAAUCCAACUUUCAUACCUAAGACUUGGCAAUGAGCUAAAUUCACAUUUCUCAUAACCAUAGACAUAAGCUUCCAAAUAAGAAAUAAGGCAAUCUAGAAUCAAAUUCUUAUGUCAUUUUGGAAAAACCUAACAUGUAAGUAUAUCCAUAUCCAUCCUAGCGUUACUUCAUCAACUUGCUCUAAAAAUGAAAAUAGACUUCAAGCCAUUACAAUACAAAAAAUUAAAGCAUCUGAAUAAAUUGUACUUAAAAGGGCAAAGUUAUUUCAACAAGAUGCACUAGUUUGUCCAGAAAUAGCAUGUUAGUGACAUGAUGCAUGGUUAAGACAAACCAAUUGGAGCAAAAUAAAACACCCAAUAGUACAUGUCACUCACAGGCCUUGGUAGAAUAACAUGAUUUUAAUAAGAAAAGUACUAUACAGCAUAACUAUAACCAUACUUACACCAUCAAAAGAAAAAUGCAUAUACUCAACUUUAUUAUUAACCACAUAAGAUUGCAAAAAAAAAAAAAACAGGCCUGCCUUUUAUUAUUUUUAGCAUCCAUUUAAAUAAGAGUAUUUUUUGAAAAAACUAACUACAUAUGGGCUUUUUAUACCUUAAAAUUUUGGACAAACUUUUUUCCAAUAGUACCUGAAUUCUUAAAGAUGUUUUUGAUAUGCUAAAAACAAAGGCGUGCAUGAAAAAAAAAAAUUUAAGAACCUAAUCUAAAAAAGGUUAAAGCCAUACUUUAUUAUUAUACAGUUGCCUACUUGAAUAUUCCCUACUUAAUGCCACAACCACCACAACAGCAUGCCAUUGCCACAACUUCUGCUAGCAUGAUGACACAGCCCAACCAAGCACCACUGACACCAUUAUGGUACACUGCCUUCAAUCACCUUGAGUGUCAUGGUCAUUGGCAUAUAAUACCACAACUGUAUCCCCACCACCACCCUGCCACCCCACUACUAUCAUCAGUAACAUCAUGCUGCCAACCUGCACUGCUAUCAUUACCACAAUGACACUUCCACUAUCAUUAUGCCUUCUUUAUCACCAAAACUGUCACCAUACUACACACACGCAUAGCACAUGCCCCUUCCACUAGUUUAUAAUAAAUAAAAAAAAUCAAAGUGUUUUAUACUAUAUAUUAUAUAUUAACAUACAAUAUAAGUAUAAUCAAAAUGGAACUAGCAGACGAGGCACACGCCAUGCGUGUGCAUACUACGACAUCAAUUUUACAAUAAAACGCAUAAUAAUAGUACAAACAACAACAAUAGUGAUAGCACUUACAUGAAUUAGCAGUGUGGUAAUAUUGAUGACAAUGGUAGGGUUGUAGGAGGAGGUCAAUGAGGUAUACCAAUACCAACAAUGGUUUCAAAGUUCACAAAUUAGUGAUAAUGACAAAACAGUUGGGUGAUAGUGGUGUGGAGCGAAUUGAUUGCAAUCAAAUCGAUACCAUUUUACCCUCAUGCAUAUAAAAUGCAUAUCAUUGAUCAAAUUUGCCAUUAUAAUUGGAGGUGUCACAUAUGAUGGGUAAUGUCAAAGUUGGUGGAGCAAUUUGACAACAAUCAAAUUGAUGCCACUUUAACCUCAUAUGCAUAUAAAAUUGCAUGUCAUUGAUCAACAUUGUCAUUAUAACUUGUGGUGUCAAAUUACAUGGGCGGUCAAGCCAAUGUUGGUGGAGCAAUUUGGUUGCAAUAAAAUUGAUGCCAUUUUAUCCUCGUAUGCACAUAAAAUGAAUUCCAUUGAUCAAAUUGUCAUUAUAACUAGAAGUAUCAAAUGGUCCAGCUCAGGCCAACCCACUUUUUAAUGGGUUCAAUGGCCCAACUAGGUCAACCCACCCAAGUAAUAUCCCCAACUUGACAACAGCCAGGCAUACCAUUGAAAAUAAAUUCAAAAUGUUGACAAAAAGGUUAAAAUAUAUAAAAUUUUGGAAUAGAAAAAUGAAACAGAUAAAAUAUAACAUGUUAUUCAAUAUUUCAACAAAACAAAAACUACAUUAAAAAUCAUGUCAUUAAAGCUUUACCUUCUUGCACAUUUCUUUCAUCCAAAAAACCCCUUCCAAAAGUGAUAUGGCAACUAAUUUGAGGGUAAAUAUAUAAUGAUGUAAAUCUUUGAGUGACCAAUUUACACAUUUAGCCCCCAAACCAGCCAUUAUAUAGUUGUUAAAACAAAUAUUUUAGAUUUUUGGAUGUGUUUGAAUAAUAAUAAAAAAAAGAGUUAAAAGUCAAGAUUAGUCAUUGGCACACCAGGCUAGCCAAGCCUAGCUGCCAAGUGCAACCUGAUCCAGCAUGCACAAUAAACAUGAUGGUCACUCCUUCAAUGGGCUAGACUAUGGGAACCCAACUUAUUUUCCAUCUUUAAUUGUAACUUAUAAUACAAGUGUCAACAAAUUCAAUAUAAGACAAGCUUAUUUGUUGUGAAUUUUGUUUGUGAAGAUCAUAAUGUUUUAAAAUCUAGCCAUUCAACAAUGCAUAUAGCAAGUGACAACAUGCAACAAAAUAUCUUAUUUAUGAAGCCAAAAUUUGUCAUUGGAAGUGCAAUUGAGUUUGGCUCCUCUCCAAUGCAUAGGAGGAUGGGACAUCUCCUAUCCUUUUUACAAGUUAAUGACACAUGAUCUCUAAAUUUACGUUUGCAUACAAACCAAAUUAUCAAAGAGUUAAAUGAUUAUUCAAUUUAAAUAACAUGAAUUUUUUUAACUUUUAUUUAUGUUCUUAGUAAAUGAACAUCAUAUAAAAAAAAUCAUUUCUCCAAUUUUCUAAAAAAACCAAUAAAUCUAAAAAUACAUACAUAUUUAGUUAUUUUUUACAAAUAAAAUUUAAUGUCUAGAAGUAGAAUUAUUUCUUUUGAUGGAAUUUUUUUUAUUGAAUUUUUAAUAAAUAGGACAUGAAACAUAAAAAAAUAUUUUAAAUAUUUUUUAUCCUAGAAACAUCAAAAAUACAUAUAUAUUCUUAAUUUUUUUUACUCCCUAAAAAACCCGAUAAACAUAAAAUAAUAAAUGAUUUUGAAUUAAUUUUUCUUUAAACAUUAAAAUUGAGAGCCAAAACAUUGUCCUCUAGUAAGUUUUCUAUUUGCUUUAUGAAAACUACUUGUUUUCUUAUCCUCAAAAGUCUAUUUAUUUUAUUUUAUUCAUCAAUUGGACGUAAACCAUCAACUAAAAAACAUAAAAUUGAUAAAAGCAAUGAAAUAGAAUUGUUUAGAAAAUAAUUGGUGUACCAGUGGAUUUUUCAUGUUGAUACUUUGUAAGGACAUAAGAUGUUGCAUUCUCCUAUGCAUUUUGGACAUGCAUUUACCUCCAAGACACGAAUACAAAGAUGAAAAAAAACUAUGUUGCACUAUGGCCACACUUUGAAGGUUUCAAAACGUUCCAAUUGGAAGGAAACCCAACAAAAUAGCAUUCAUAGUCCAUCACUAGUUCUUUAUUCACAACAUUUAAAUUUUAGAUCCAAACCCAAUAACAAAGUACUUGUAAUUGGUUCACAGUUUUCUCUUUAUAGCAUAAAAUCUAAUAAGUCUUAACAUUAAGCACAAAAUUAGCAACAUACUCAACUUAUUCAAUAUUUCAACACCAAGGUCUCAAGUUCCUAUCUUAUCCAUAAAAAGAAAGAAAAGUAACAAUCAUCCAAGGAACCACUAUUCAUUCUUCUAAUUAGAAAUCAAACUCAAACAGUAAAUGCAAUUCCAAUAUUUAGGAUUGGAAAGUUAAAAACUUAUAUUCCAAAUCCAAGCAGUUGAGAUAUCAAGGAAAGCAUUUUUACAAGCUUCCAUCAAUAAGAACAUAACAAAAAUAUUAAUAUAUAUAUAUAUAUAUAUAUAUAUAUAUAUAUAUAUAUAUAUAAGUCCGAAGAGUUUGUAGACGUUUUUCUUUGAGUUUAGACUUUUUUCUUCCCAAAGUAUCCCUUUUAUAUCGCUUAUUUCCCCUCAUAUUGCACAUCUUUAUCAUCCUCAUACUGCACAUCUUUAUUAUUUAACUGUAACAAUCAUGAUAAAUUCACCUUCUCAUUAUUUAAUGGUUAUAAAUGAUAAAAUUGAAUUUAUUUUAAUUAUUUUUUAUUUUAAGGUUCUUCCUUCUCUUCUUUUAAUAAUUAAUAUGCAAGUUUUACUUUUUCUUUUCUGUUGCUUUCCUUUUUUUUCCAUUUACAUCUGGGAUUCAUUGGUAGCAUGGUAAGUACAAUUUAUGUUUUCAUAAUAAAAUUAAUGAACUUUAUAAUUCAACUCAAAUACGUUUUUCAUACAUACAAUUUUACAAGAUAAUGUUCCAUGAUAGUUAAUCUUAUAAAAGUUCCAGCUUGAGCUGUGGUCCAAAAAUGAAAUCCUAGAAUUAAAAAAUUUUCAAUAAUAGCAUUGACAAUUUUGCAUUGAAAGAGAAACCCUGGCCCUCUCUUCUGUUUCCAAUAAAAUAGAGCAAAUAAAAGAAAACUCUUUCAUUCUUAUGUUAUCUUACAUCCUUUACUUCCAAAAAAAAGUUUUAAAAUAAAAAUAAAAAACCCUCGGGUCAACUAAGCAGAACAGUCAGUGUAAGUUUUGACAUUUUUCUGUACACCCAGUUCAUCAUCAAUGGUGAAAAUUUUACAAUUCAAAAUUUUAAUUACUUUUUUUUAUAUUUUCUCUGCAUCUAAACUAACCCCAUGUUUGGUUCUUGGAAAAUUUGAGGAAAAAUGCCAGGGAAAGAAAAUAAAGAGAAAAUGAAAGAAAAUGAAAAGAGGGAAAAAAACAAUAGAUUUAAAGUUAAUAAGUUCUUGCCUAAAAAAAAAAGUUAAUAAGCUCUAUUUAAAUGUUUCAAACUCAUUUCACUUAUUUUCCUCGUCGUUCCUCAACAUUUUCUUUUCCUUUACUGACUUCUGCCUAAAUCUAUUUUUAUGGAUGAAAACAAAAUUUUCAGGAGCUGUGAUCCAAACUUGCAAUAUUUUCACGGCCGCUUAAAGAGAAACCGUAGAAUUCAAUACUUCUAGAAAUAUAUUUUCCAAAUUAUAAAGCACAGAGUGAAUCCAACCAUCUGUUUGGUCACCAAGAAAAUGACAAAAAAAAAAAAAAACAUAUUUUGACUCCAAUAUUAUCUCUCUCACUUUCUUUACUGCCAAGAAAAUCCAAAACUACGAAAAUUUAAAAUAAAUAAAUAAAUAAAUAAAACUGAGAUGAAAUAAGACCAAAAGUCGUAGGUUUUUUUGUGAAGUUCCGGUUUCUGCAUUCCCAAGCCCUAGAUGGUGAAAAAUUUACUAUUCAAAAUUUUCUUUCAUUAUCCCAUUAUUUUCUCAGCAUCCUAGAGGCAUUUUCUCGGUAUCCAAACAAAAUAAUCUAACCUAGGGGUCGAUUGAUUGGCUUGGGAAUAGAGAGGAGCAGUACCUUGAACCCAGAAUCGAUCCAAUCUCAGCGUUUGGAGAAGAAGAAGGGUAAACAGAGAUCGCGACUUCUUGUGCUGCGAGCUAAACCUAAAGCCAUGAGCUACAAGGUACA
rnacentral:lncRNA from 1 species